UGAGGGAUGCUGUGACACAGAGUCUUGCUUGAUGCAGUGUGUGGUGUUACUCACAGGAGUGGGUUCAGCCACUCUUGGUGUGAAACCCAAGGAAAAUGUCUCUGCCGCAGCUGAUGUCAACAUGUACAGCAUGUGACCAGCUUGCAUUCAGAAAGGAGAUGUGUGUAUGAGUUCUGCAGAAGUCCACCAAAUGUGGGCCAGGGUUAUUUCCCUGGUGAUGCUCUGAAGCUUUUGCCAAAGGACAAAUGGAAACAGGAAGUACAAUCAUGCACUGGGGUAAAGAAGAUUCAUCUGCUCUUAGCUACCUACCAUGCCAACACUCCUGAGAAAGCUCACAGAGGCCCAUGAUGCCCACCUGGAUCUGAGGACCUAGAAAGCCACAACAGGCAACCAUAAUCUGGGUCUUCCCUCAGCCAACUCCCCUGCAUAAAGUGAAUGAAUGAAAAACCCAUCUUAUAUUAAUCAGAGUUCUCUAGAGAAAAAGAACCAAUCAGAUGUGUAUAUAUAGAAAGAGAGAAUUAUUUUAGGGAAUUAGCUCACAUCAUUAUGCAGGCUGGUCAAUCAAAAAUCUGUGGAGUGGGCUAGCAGGCUGGAGACCCAGGGAAAGGCUAAAUUGCAGUUUAGAUCAGAAGGUCAUCUACUGGCAGAAUUCCCUCAUCUUCCAGGAAGGUGGAUCUUUUUCUACCAAGGCCUUCAGUUUAUUAGAUUAGGCCCAUGAACAUGCUGGAGGGUAAUCUGCUUUACUCAAUACAUACUGAUUUGAAUGUUAGUAUCAUCAAAAAGACCUUCACAGAAACAUCUAAAAUAAUGUUUGACCAAAUGUCUGCAUACCAUGGCCAAGCCAAGUUUACACAUAAAAUUAAUUAUCACACAUCCCACGAACACCAUCCCCAACAGAUGCUCAUGAGCAUUGUGGUUAUGAUUUCAACUUCAGAAUAAGGCAGAAAUGUGUACAAAUCCUGACCCUUUGACUUAUCAGCUCUCUAAAAAUCAUUAUAUGUCAACUUUCUAGACUUUACCUGAAAAACAGAAACCAAGAUACCCACAGCAUAAGAUUGUUAGGAUUGAAGAAAUUGUUACGAUUGUUAGGUAUGAAGAAAUUUAAACAAUGAUGCAGCUGAGAUAUUUAGAAUUGUACCUGGCAUGUACUUUGUAUUAAAUAACUAAUAAGGCCUUUUUCUGGUGAAAACAAAAUAAGCCUGGAUAAAAGAAGAUGAGACCAGAUUGGUUGAUGGCUCGGCCUGGGUGGGCUCCUGGCCCAUCUGAAAUUACAUUACUCUUAUGUAGUGCCUUUUUUGUUAUUGCUAAAAUAAAAUAAAUAAAACACUCUACUUUCAUACUUUGUAAAA